rnacentral:rRNA from 1 species
UGGGGAAUAUUGCGCAAUGGGCGAAAGCCUGACGCAGCAACGCCGCGUGCGGGAUGAAGGCCUUCGGGUUGUAAACCGCUUUCAGUGGGGACGAACCAAGACGGUACCCACAGAAGAAGCCCCGGCCAACUACGUGCCAGCAGCCGCGGUAACACGUAGGGGGCAAGCGUUGUCCGGAUUCAUUGGGCGUAAAGAGCUCGUAGGCGGUUCGAUAAGUCGGGUGUGAAACCUCCAGGCUCAACCUGGAGACGCCACCCGAUACUGUCGUGACUAGAGUCCAGUAGGGGAGCGUGGAAUUCCUGGUGUAGCGGUGAAAUGCGCAGAUAUCAGGAGGAACACCAGCGGCGAAGGCGGCGCUCUGGGCUGGAACUGACGCUGAGGAGCGAAAGCGUGGGGAGCGAACAGGAUUAGAUACCCACGUAGUCCCUGAGCGGGCUGGCAAGGCGCAU